AGAUCAGGAAACUACAGAAGAGGUCACUUACAUUGCUCUAAAUUUCUCCAAAAGAAAACAACCAAAACCAAAAAUGAAUGAGGAGCAAGAGGUGGUGUAUGCAGGAGUUGCGGUCAGACGAUGAAUUAUAAAAUAUUUUCUGUUUGCUAAACUAUUUAAUUGUAUCAAUGCUGUUUUUUUGUGUAAACCUUUUAUUCAACCUUUCAAAGCUGUGUACAAUAGGAUGUUUAAUAGUGUAAAUAUGAUUCAAAUACAAAAAUACUGCAUGAACAAUAAAAAAUAUUUUGCCUCCUCAUAUUCUACUGGGCAUUAGAUUAAAUACUUUCCAAAGGCGUUCUGUUUCAGUCCAG